AUGGACAACGCGUGCACACCGGUUCUGAGCGCGCCGCUCGCAGCCACCUGACGACUGCUCGCUACGGUUUGUUAGCC
rnacentral:sRNA from 1 species